rnacentral:misc_RNA from 1 species
UCACUCUUGCUGGUCACGAUGAGUAUAUUGUGAGGGGAGGGAGAGACCUGUUUCCCUUGUUGCCUGAUGCUUUCAAGGGGAUUAAGCAGAUUGGAGUCAUUGGCUGGGGAUCCCAGGGGCCAGCCCAAGCUCAAAAUUUGAGGGAUUCUCUUGCUGAAGCAAAAUCUGACAUUGUAGUAAAGAUUGGGCUGAGGAAGGGCUCCCGCUCUUUUGCUGAAGCUCG